GACGAACGCUGGCGGCGUGCCUAAUACAUGCAAGUCGAGCGGACGAAUCGAAAGCUUGCUUUUGAUUCGUUAGCGGCGGACGGGUGAGUAACACGUUGGCAACCUGCCCUGUAGACGGGGAUAACACCGAGAAAUCGGUGCUAAUACCGGAUAACACGAAAUGUCGCAUGACGUUUCGUUGAAAGACGGCGCACGCUGUCGCUACAGGAUGGGCCCGCGGCGCAUUAGCUAGUUGGUGAGGUAACGGCUCACCAAGGCGACGAUGCGUAGCCGACCUGAGAGGGUGAUCGGCCACACUGGGACUGAGACACGGCCCAGACUCCUACGGGAGGCAGCAGUAGGGAAUCUUCCGCAAAGGACGAAAGUCUGACGGAGCAACGCCGCGUGAGCGAAGAAGGCCUUCUGGUCGUAAAGCUCUGUUGUUAGGGAAGAACAAGUAACGCAGUAACUGGCGUUACCGUGACGGUACCUAACGAGAAAGCCACGGCUAACUACGUG
rnacentral:rRNA from 1 species